GGGGCGGUGGUCCAGCUUGGCUAAGAUGCCGGCCUCGGGAGCCGGAGAUCGCGGGUUCAAAUCCCGCCCGCCCCACCA
rnacentral:tRNA from 1 species